GGGAGAAAAUAAUCUGUCAGUCCCCUGCUCUCCGGAACAAACGGCUCCCGGUCUGCACACUCGACCCCGCUGUCCCCUUGGGCUGCAGCUGCGAGCGCCGCCUCGCACCCCCCGCGCUCGCCUCCCCUCCGUUCCCUGCCAGCACUCGGCGAGAGCCCGAGCGGCAGCGGCGCAGGGCUCAGCCCCGGGGCGGAGCUGGCGGCGGCCCAGAGGAGGCGUCCCGGCCGCAGCAGAGCCGGGGCUCAGGGCCACAGCGAGGCUCGGCCGGAGGAGCGGCGGCAUGCGGCGGUGUUGGGGCGCGGGGCUGGCGGCGCUGGCCGCGCUGCUGCUCGUGGCUCUGGUCAGAGCCCAGGUACAGCAGGAGCCAGCACUGCAGACCACCGAAGGCACCGGCAUCAACAUCACCUGCUCACAUUCCAAUAUAGAGUCGAAUGAAAUGAUCUACUGGUACUGACAGCUCCCGGACAAAGGCCCCGAACACCUCGUGAGCGCUCACAAAGGGCUCAGAGAGCUGCCGGACAGUGCAGGAAAGCUGUUGGUGUCGGCAGAUCGGCGUUCGAGCGCGCUGUGGCUCGCUGGGCCCCGGCGCGGGGACGCGGCCGUGUAUUACUGCGCGCUGGGCGCCACGGCCAGAGGAGCCGGGGCUGAGGCCGGGCACGAACCGCCGCGGGCGGGGCCGGCCGGGGCCAGCAGGGGGCGCUGCCGCUCCGCCCGUCGGGCUCCCGGGGCGCUGCCUGCAGAACCGACACCGGCAGAGGACAUCGGCACCGGCAAUGGGAUCGACACCCACACCGGCACCGGCGACGGACAUCGGCACCAGUAA